UUGUUUUCUUGCUUCCUUCCUGUGUUACCUAAUUGCUCGCUUCUCAGAUUUCUCUGUUGAGUUCAGUUUUUUUUUCUGUUUAGUUCAUUGAUUAUUUGCUACUUGAUUUUGUAAGUGUUCUCACUUACUCGCACGCUAACUAGCUGUUCUUUAAAAUCAUCAUUGACCAAUAUAUUUAUUGCAAGAUCUAUAUUACAUUAGUUUUAGUUCAUUUAUUUAUUAAUUUUGUCCUUAAUUACUUGCUUUCUUAAUUCUUUACUGGUUCGUUUUCUUGCCUGCUUUGUUAGUUGCUAGCUCUCUUAAUUACUUGCUUUCUUGAUUUGUUGCUAACUUCUUUGCUUCAUUCCUUGAUUCUCUGCGUGCUUGUGUUUCUUUCUAAUUUUAUUUAUUUCUUGCUUGCUUCCUUGUUUUUCUUAGCUUCAUGCUACUUUUAUCAUUUUCUUACUUACCUUCCUUACCUACUAGACCUUUUUAACUUCUUUAUUUCCUUACUUUGAACUAACCCUCUAGCUUAAUAUAUUUAGAUACUUCUCGGUUACUCGUUGAGAGUAGCACAGGUGGAGACUCUUGAGCGUCUAUCAAGGAAACUAAAGUACUAGUUCAUCAACAAUGCCUCCACAUGGAUCAUCUCUUUUGUGAAGGCCUAUGAUGAUCAUUCUUUUUCCGUUACUUCUUCAUUCUGAUCUCGUUUGUAUCUAAAUAUUUUAUUUGACUGUUUUAAUUAUUCAGGGUCUGAGAUCAGGCGUUUACUCUCUCUGCUACCAUGAAACAGGUCCAUCUUUUUCAUGCAUGUCUCAUACCAUCUGUCGUCUUUUUUAUGUAUGACUCAUACCAGCAACUCUUUGACAAAUAUUUUUCGUCAGAUGUGAUGUGUUAUCUUGUGCAUGUUAUGAAAUGGAAGUCAGAGAUUCAUGCUUACUUCCUUAGAUUUUGCAGAACAAGUUCAGGAUAUGAAUCUUCAACCAAAAGUAGUUCGGAUGGCAGAAAUGGAAGAAUUACGUGUUGAGGUCAAAGGCGAGAGUCUGUUCACUUUCAGAUAAGUUCGCUGCCUGUGGAGUAGCUCUUUGACGAUGAUUUUGUAUUGUAAGUUUUUGAUGUGUUCUCAAAUCAGAAGUACAUACUUUAUACGCUUAUUUGCAGAAUUAUAGCAAUCGGAGCUCUAAAAUGUGUGUGAGACAAUCUCUGGAAUUCCUUUGAGUCCCAUCGCAAAAGCUCUAAAUGGCUACGAGAAAACAACUAGCCUGACAUCUUCUUAUUUCUGAAUCAAAUCCGUAUGUCAGAUUUAUAAUUAGGAAAUGCUCUUCCUGUAAGUGUUUCGAAGUGGCGGAAGGGAUUUACGACCGUCUUUAAGUUUACUCAGUUGAAUGAAGCCUCAGAGGAAAACAAAACAGAUUCAGGUCCAUCACAAAUGGCUAAGAUUUUUGUUCAUGAAGUAACAUUCUGUCAGAGACCGUUCUGUUGAUAUCAAGUGCAUCGCAAAUGGAGCUCUAAAAUUUCCGAGAGACAUCGUCUACUAGUUUCUACAGCUUAAUCCUACUUCUGCCAGAAAUUACAUUCUCAGUAUGACAUCACUUUAGAAGGCUAUAUUACUCGGCUGGAGACGGUCAGACAUGUGGAGCUUGAGAUUGGCUACUCGGAUUAAGCUGGUGACAGAGAGCGAGAACUUUUUGAGAAAACUGGCUUGGAACCCCGCACUAACUAUCUGCAAACCAUUGGCAAUGUAUGGCAUCACUUUAGAAGGCUUUAUUACUCAGCUGGGGAUGUCAGACGUGUGAAGCUUGAGGUUAGAACAUGGCAAAAGAAAGAUCCAGUCGUGGAAGCAGUGAUGAAAUAUGUCAUCUUAUUAGCGCUCAGUAUGUUACUCUGAAAACAGGAGCAAGAAAAAGAAACAGGGCCUUCCUUUAUCGAUGGUAACCUCAUACAUCAUGGAUUCUUCAUGCAUAUAAGACCACCUAUCCAUUAAUGCUUACUUGCUUAUUCUGUUUACUUCAUUGCUUGCUUUUUUCUCAACUUGUUUUCUUGCUUCCUUGAUUACUCCCUUAGAUGCUUUACUUGCUUGCUUCUUUGUCUUUUGGUUCUUCUGUUUAGUGCAUUGUCUGUUUCUCUGACUUAUUGAGUUCAGUUUUUAUUCUCUGUUUCUUUGAUAUUUCUGUUUAGUUCAUUGAUUAUUUGCUACUUGACUUUGUUAGUGUGCUCACUUACUCGCACACUACUAGCUGUCUAACAUGAUUUUUAAGAAUCAUCAUCCAAUAAAUUUAAUUUACUAUUUAUUACAUAACUUGCUUUUUUGAUUCUUUACUGGUUUGCUUUUUCUUCGUUAUUUUCUUUCUUUGGUUCGUUAGUUACUAGCUCCCUUAAUUAUUUGCUUUCUUGAUUUGUUGCUUACUUUUUUUCGCUUGUUCCUUGAUUCUCUGCAUGUUGUCUUCUUUCUUAUUUAUUCCUUGCUUGCUUUCUUGUUUCUUUGAUUUCCCGCUUACUUGCUGCAUUGAGUUGUUUACUUUAUUACUUGCUUCCUUUUCUUCUUUGCUUUCUUAAAUACUUGAUUCCUUCCUAGCUUAAUGAUUAUUUUAUCAUUUUCUUAGUUUCUUCAUCGCUUAUUUAACUUCCUUACCUUCUGGGCUUGUUUAACUUUCUUUGCUUAAUAUCUUUAGAUACUUUUCGGUUACUAUUUGAAUGUUGUACAGGUGGAGACUCUCUAGCGUCUAUCCAGGAAACUAAAGUCCUAGUUCAUCAACAAUGCCUCCACAUGGAUCAUUCUCUUUUGUUAAGGCCUAUGAUCAUUAUGUUUUUGUUACUGCUUCAUUCUGAUCUUGUUUGUAUCUAAAUAUUUCAUUCUGACUGUUUUAAUUUUUCAGGGUCUGAGAUCAGACAUUUACUUGCAAUGCAACCAGUCACUGAACCAGGAACCUUAUGAGUUCUCUGGCACCAUGAAACAGGUUUUGCAGAACAAGUUCAGUAUAAGAAUCUCCAACAAAACUAGUUUGGAUGGCAGAAUAUUUGACGAACUACGUGUUGAGUUAAUUACAAAGAAAAUAAUUAUAAAAGGUAUCACUUAACAGUGUUUCAAAAAAAAAAAAAAAAAAAAAGGUAUCACUUAACCAUUCGUGAAAGACGUUGUGUUGUACUUGUAUUGUUUCCUCAUUAAUGAUCACCUAUUCUUUUGAUUAAUCUAACAGUUUUAGUGAAAAUAAGUAAGAUCAGAUCAGGUAUUCCGGUCAUAAGAACGUUUUGAAUAAAUAUAUGUAUUAUUGGAGCAAUCGAAUGACGCCAGACAAAUGUUAAAGAGAUGUAUAUGUUUUUGUAAUGCAUUUCAGGUCAAGAGCGACAAUCAGUUCACUUCACAGUAGUUGUCGUGAUCCCAUUUGGCAUUAGCCCUGAAUUUGAAGAUAAGUUCACUGCAUGUGGAGUUGAUCUUUGAGAUGAUUUUGUAUUGUAAGCUUUUGAUGUGUUCUCAAUAUCAAAAUCACAUAAUGUAUAUGCUUAUUGGCAGAUCCAUCACCAGUGGAGCUCUAAAUGUCUGUGAGAUAACAUCUUCAAGUUUCUUGAAGUUAAGUCUGUGUCCCAUGUAUCUGUCUUCAAUCUUUUCUUCUGCUUUUGAUUUUAUAGUUAUAAAUUUCGAGCUUUUGGCAUGUUCUCAAGUCUGAUCCACAUAUACAUCAUCGUAUCUCUAAGAUUUCGUUUUGUCUAUUUCAGGUCCAUCGCAAGUGGAGCUCAAAUAUGGCUAAGAUACAACCACGAUACCGUGUCAUCUUCUUGUUUCUAAAUCAAAUCCUUCUGUCGAGUUAACAACAUGGAAAAAUAAAAACCCAGUUGUGGCAGGUUUGCACCUUUUGUCCUUAACAGGUCUUAAUGUCCAAGUUACUAUACCAAUCAAAUAUGGUAUAUGGCCUAACAUUCAAAACCUGUCUCUUAGACUAUGGUGGCUUGGAACUCCGCCUUAAGCCUCUGCAAACCACUAGUCCUUUAAGAACAGCAGUCCAUAGUCUGGAGAAAAAAGGCAUAAACGGUUACAGAGAAAGGCACAAACUUAUGGAAAAGAUAUAAUCACGAAUGAAGCUUUCUAGACAUCAUUAAGGCCAGGGAACUACAGAGUAAUCCUACCAAACUUUGUAAGUAUGUUCAAUCAUUUUCUUUUGGUCUUUUGAUUUUGCUUGUAUAGUUUGAUGUUCUCUCUGUUUCCUCUGCAGCAACAGAUUCCAUAGUCUGAUGUGAUGUAUCUCAGAGAAUGUUAUAUAUAGGUUCUUCUCAAUCACUUAAAUUUUCAUUCACACAUACAUACAUGUGUGCAUACAUGUGUGCAUUCGGACAUAUUGCUUUCUUGAUUCUUUACUGGUAUGCUUUCUUACUUUCUUUGUUAUUUUUAUUUUUAUUUUUAUUUCUUUUCUUCGUUAUUAUCUCUCUUUGCUUUGUUUCAACUGUUCCUUAGUUCCCUGCGUGCUUGUUUUCUUUCUUAUUUGUUUCUUGAUUCCUUGCUUUAUUGUGUUCCUUUUUUGCUUCCUUCCUUGUUUUUCUUUGAUUUCGUGGUUCCUUGCUGUAUUUACUUUGUUACUUGAUUUACUGGUUUCUUGCUGUAUUUACUCUUUGUUUACUUUCUUACUGCUUCUUUGUUCAUUGAUUUCCUAAAUACUUGAUUCCUUACUAGCUUCCUGCUUUUAUCAUUUUCGUACUUGCUUCCUUUGUUUACUUGGUUAUCUUACCUACUGGACUGCUUUAACUUUCUUACUCAGAACUAACCAUAUCUUUAUAUAGUUCUCGGUUACUGUUUGAAAAUAGCAUAGAUGGAGGGUAUAGAUGGAGACUCUUGAUCACUAAGGAAAGUCUCGUUAAUGAACAUCGCUUCCACAUGGAUCAUCCCUUUUGUGAUGAUCAUUCUGUUUUUGUUAUUUCUUCAUGCUGAUCUCGUUUGUAUCUAAAUUCUUUUAUAUGUCCGUGCUAAUUAUACAAGAGGGUUAGAUCCUGCCAUUUACUAGCAACCGAGUCUCUGACACCAUGAAACAAGUUCCUUUUUCAAGUACGUAUUUGCCAAAUAUUUUUCAUUAGACAUGUUUGCAUGUAGUCCAUCUUUGAUACCUAACUUGUGACUAUUACUAACUAGCGGUUGGAGAUUCAUGCUUACUUUCUUAGCUGUUGCAGAACUAAUUUGGAUGCCAGAAAAUUGGAAGAAUUACGUGUGUUCUUUCAAUUACGAAGAAAUAAGUAUAUAAGGUAUCGCUUCAUCACUUAACCAUUCAUGAAGGACGUUGUGUUGUACAUUAUUGUUUCCUCAUAAUUGUUCAUCUAUUCUUUUGAUUAAUCUAACAUAAUGUAUAUGCUUAUUUCGCAUAUCAAACUGCCUGAAACACAUUAUUUGCAUUCGUGGAUUCAUGCCUACGUUCAUCUAUACAUCGCAUUCAUGCAUUUGUUCUUCUGUAAUUAUUUGUUUCGUUUCAUUGCUUCCUUCACCGAUUCUUGCAUGCUUGACCUGUUUUCUUGCUUAAUUCUUUGCUUCUUUUGUUUACUUUUUUGCUUGUGUUUUUUGAUUAACUUAUUUGCUUGCUUUCUUGUUUUCUUGAUUGAUUAUUGCUUCUCUGAUUUCUCACUUUCACUUCAUUGUUUAAUUCUCUCUUUCUUUGAUUCCUCUGUUUCGUUCAUUGAUCAUUUUUCUCUUAUUUCACUACUUGUUUUGUCCUACUUGAUAUUGUAAGUGUGUUCACUUACUCGCGCCCUAAUAGCUGCCUAGCAAUUGUUUUUCAAAGUUAUUAUCGUUCAGCCUUAUGUAACUUUAAUUCACUCUUAUUUAUUUUUAGUAAUUUACUGCAAUUAGCAUUAUUAUUAUUAUUUGUUGUAAAAAAGCAUUUUUUUAAAAGCAACUGCAGUUAGCAUUUAUCAGCUAAUUAUACUUUAAAUUAUCAGGCAGCUGAGACGUCAGACAUAUUUUUUUGGGUAAAAGAGUUAGAAGAUUCUUGUGAGAUAAAAUUUUAACAUGUUGUAUGCAUCUUCCGAUUCGAUUACAUGACAAUGUGUAUGAAAAUUGUUUAUAAUAUAAUAAAAAUUAGUUUAGUUAA